UUCGGUGCAUGCUCCGCGGGGGCAUGGGCAAUAACAGAAGUUCAAUUGGGAUCCGGAAUUGAGCACUGGCGGAUGCUUUACACAUGCAAAGUCAGGCAGCGGCACGGACGCUUUCGAUCUGUGGUGGCGAAAUGGCGAACGGGUGAGUAAUGUAUCGGAACGUGCUGUGUGGAGGAUGCUACGCGAAAGCGUAGCUAAUACCGCAUACCCUUCCCUUCGGAAAGCAGGGAUAUUCGAACCUCACGCACCUAUUAAACAAGCCGGUAUCGGAUUAAGCUGGUUGGUGGAAUGCUGGCUCACGGGCGGCGAUCCAUAUUAGCUGGUUUGAAGGACGACCAGCCACACUGGGACUGAACGGCCCAGACUCCUACCAGGAGGCAGCGGUGGGGGUGCCUGGACAAUGGAAACCUGAUCCAGCCAUCCCGCGUGUGCGAUGAAGGCCUUCGGACCAUGUAAAGCGCUUUUGGCGGGGAAAAGAAACAGCUUUACGGAUACCCCGUGCAACUGACAGUACCUGCAGAAUAAGCGCCAGCUAACACGUUGGCCAUAUGAUAAUAUCAAGGUGCAGCUGUUAAUCCGAAUUACUGGGCGUAAAGCGUGCGCAGGCGGUUCGGAAGAAAGAUGUGAAAUCCAGAGCUUAACUUUGAGGCUGCGUUUUUUAACUACCAUUUGGUGUACAGGAGGUGAAUUCCGCGUGUAGCAGUGAAAUGCGUGAUGCUGCAGGAAGGGAACACCGAUGGCGAACAACCUCUGGGAUAACUGCUGACGCUCGCUCACAGCAGCAUUACGAAUAACCCGGAUUCAGAUACACCUGAAGUGAUCCACGCCCCUCUGUGAGUGUCACUUGUGUGGGCGCUGGGCCUUGGUAAGUACAACUAACGCGCGUGAGAUUAAACCUUCAGAGAUGCAGUCGCAAGAUUCGGACUCAAAGGAAUUGACGGGGACCCGCAAGCAGUGGAUGAUGUGGAUUAAUUCGAUGCAGCGCGAAAAACCUUACCUACCUUGACAGCAAUAAGGUCCCGAAGAAGAGAUUUGGAAGGUGCUCGCAAGAGAACCGGAACACAGGUGCUGCAUGAGCUGUCGUCGUCAUGUCGUGAGAUGUUGGGUUGAAGUCCCUGUAAGCGCAACCCUUGUCAUUGGUUAUGCAGAAGGUACUCUAAGCCGGAACUGCCGGUGACAAACCGGAGAAGGUGAGAUGACAUCAAGUCCUCUGCAAUACGCAUAUCAUUGAAGCCACACGUCAUACAAUGGUGGGACAGGGUCGCCAACCUGAGAAGGCCAAUCACGAAAGCCCGAUCGUAGUCCGGAUCUGUUCCAACUCGGCUUCGUGAAGUCAGGAAUCGCUAGUAAUCGCGGAUCAGCAUGUCGCGGUGAAUACGUUCCCGGGUCUUGUACACAACCGUCACGCUUGGGAGUGGGUUUUACUGCCAGAGAGAAAUGAUUAGCUAACAAUAAGAGGCAGUUACCACGGUAAGAUUCAUGACUGGGGUGAAGUCGUAACAAGGCCA
rnacentral:rRNA from 1 species